GACGAACGCUGGCUGCGUGCUUAACACAUGCAAGUCGAACGCUGAAGCUCACAGCUUGCUGUAGGUGGAUGAGUGGCGAACGGGUGAGUAACACGUGAGUAACCUGCCCCCGAUUUCGGGAUAAGCCCGGGAAACUGGGUCUAAUACCGGAAAUGACCACCGGCCGCAUGGAUGGUGGUGGAAAGUUUUUCGAUCGGGGAUGGGCUCGCGGCCUAUCAGCUUGUUGGUGGGGUAAUGGCCUACCAAGGCGACGACGGGUAGCCGGCCUGAGAGGGCGACCGGCCACACUGGGACUGAGACACGGCCCAGACUCCUACGGGAGGCAGCAGUGGGGAAUAUUGCACAAUGGGGGAAACCCUGAUGCAGCGACGCAGCGUGCGGGAUGACGGCCUUCGGGUUGUAAACCGCUUUCAGCAGGGAAGAAGCGUAAGUGACGGUACCUGCAGAAGAAGUACCGGCUAACUACGUGCCAGCAGCCGCCGUAA
rnacentral:rRNA from 1 species